UACGUAGGGCGCAAGCGUUGUCCGGAAUUAUUGGGCGUAAAGAGCUCGUAGGUGGCUUGUCACGUCGGGUGUGAAAGCUUGGGGCUUAACUCCAGGUCUGCAUUCGAUACGGGCUGGCUAGAGGUAGGUAGGGGAGAACGGAAUUCCUGGUGUAGCGGUGAAAUGCGUAGAUAUCUGGAGGAACACCGGUGGCGAAGGCGGCAUCCUGGACCAAUUCUGACACUGAGGAGCGAAAGCCAGGGGAGCAAACGGG
rnacentral:rRNA from 1 species